GCCCCCGGAUGGGGGGGUGUCUAAUGAUUGCAAGUCGAGCGGACUUUGCCUUCGGGUAAUGUUAGCGGCGGACGGGUGAGUAACACGUGGGUAACCUGCCCAUAAGACUGGGAUAACAUUCGGAAACGAAUGCUAAUACCGGAUACGCGAAACGGUCGCAUGAUCGAAUCGGGAAAGGCGGAGCAAUCUGCCACUUAUGGAUGGACCCGCGGCGCAUUAGCUAGUUGGUGGGGUAACGGCUCACCAAGGCGACGAUGCGUAGCCGACCUGAGAGGGUGAUCGGCCACACUGGGACUGAGACACGGCCCAGACUCCUACGGGAGGCAGCAGUAGGGAAUCUUCCGCAAUGGACGAAAGUCUGACGGAGCAACGCCGCGUGAGUGAUGAAGGUUUUCGGAUCGUAAAGCUCUGUUGCCAGGGAAGAACGCUUACGAGAGUAACUGCUCGUAAGGUGACGGUACCUGAGAAGAAAGCCCCGGCUAACUACGUGCCAGCAGCCGCGGUAAUACGUAGGGGGCAAGCGUUGUCCGGAAUUAUUGGGCGUAAAGCGCGCGCAGGCGGCCUUGUAAGUCUGUCGUUUAAACUCGGAGCUCAACUUCGAGUCGCGAUGGAAACUGCAAAGCUUGAGUGCAGAAGAGGAAAGUGGAAUUCCACGUGUAGCGGUGAAAUGCGUAGAGAUGUGGAGGACACCAGUGGCGAAGGCGACUUUCUGGGCUGUAACUGACGCUGAGGGCGCGAAAGGCGUGGGGGAGCAACAGGAUUAGAUACCUGUUAGUCCACGCCGUAAACGAUGAUGCUAG
rnacentral:rRNA from 1 species